UGCUCCCCUCUGACAACACUGAGAAACAAAUGUGCUCAUCCCCACUGUAAAAAUGAGGACACAGUGUCAGAGAGGGCACGCCCCUUGCCCAAAGUCAUGCUGAUCAAAGCAACAAAACAAAAAUGCCAACCGCAGCUCCAGAAGAGGAUGCCAACCCUGUUUCACAGGAAGGGAAAGCAAGAUGCAGCAGAAGUCAGGAUGCUUCCCGGCCUCUCCUUGAACAGACCAAGCCUCACCGUAUCCUGCGUUCACCUGCCGGGAGCUGAGCCCCAGCUUCACCCUUGGCAUUGCACAGGGAACCCGAGUCCAUGCCACAGCACAGUGUUGCCAGGUGCUAAAUGCCAGGCUGAAAGGCCACCGCCUUCGUUCCUGCCGAUUCUCACAGAGAGCCGAAGCUGCACACACACAGUUGGAGGACUUGUGAGGCUGGAGCGCCCUCUGCUGGUCAUACAGCGGGUACAGCCAGGAGAGAGGUACAAGUUGGGAAUGCCUGCUGCAAAGCCCAGCUGUUAGGAUGCCGGCAGAGAGAACAGGUAGCCUGGUCCCCUGAGGACACCGCAGCUGUCACCUCGGCCACACACCAGAGGCUGCAGCUUGUACUGCUGACCCUCAGGUCCUGGACCCUGAACAAGCAUCCCACUGCUGUGAGGACUCUAUCCAGCUACAAGGAUGCAGCUUCCAGAGGGAAUUCUCUGUGGGCCUUGGUUCUUUGGGACGCCAGCUCCUGAAUCUAGCCCAGAGUCAGUGUCUGAUGUAGGCAUGGUCCUAUGUCCCAGCUGCAAGUCACAGCUGUCCCUCCUGGGGUAUCCUAGCCCAGGAAGGGGGUUCAGACCUUAGCAGCCAAGAAAAAUGCCAGGCGUCCACUGUGUCCCCUGCAUUGUCCACACAGUUCUGUUCUUCCUGGCCUCCUACCCCCUUAUAAUUCUUAAGAUUCUGGGCAAAUUCAUUUGAUUUUAUGCAAGCCUUAAACCAAAGCCUGAGAUUGGAAGGCUUCCAUUGAUUUUUUUUUGUUUUUUUUUGUUUUUUUUUUGGCUGGGUCAUCCUGCCACCUGUUGGCAGCUCAG